rnacentral:lncRNA from 1 species
AUAUUUUUUAGGUGUGACACUGAUAAUCAGGACUUCAAGACGCACUGGUACGGAUGGACGAUUGGCAGACUGCAGCAAGUGUUCCUAUCUCAUCAUGAACAGGUGCAAGCCUAUUCUGCGACCCUGGAGACUUUGCUCUUCACACAUGACUUGGAUGCUAACAUACUCGAUGUAUUCCAGCAGUUCGUCUCCCUGAGAGCAUAGAUUUUGUUGGGGGCUGGAUACCCAAGCGAGAAGACCCUUCAAGAUUCAAUUAUUUUUUACAAUUCCCAAACUAGAUUUUCAAUUUAUACAAAUUGUUAUUUGUAGAUCUUUUUGUCGGUAUUUUAUAAUGAUAAAAUAAUUAAUUAGUCAAUAAUUAACUGUCGAUAUUAUCAGUGAUGAUUAUUGAACUAUUUAGAUGAUCUGACAAGGAAUAAGUUGACAAAAUAUUCUAGAAACAGAAGCAAAAUUAUUUAAAUUAGAAAUAGAAAUAAAAAAAAAUUUAAUUACCCUUAAAAUGGUUUACUUCUAUUAUACAAGUAAGAGUGAAUUGUUAAAAGACGAUCUGGCAACAGAGCAAAUCGAGAAGACAAGGAUAGCUAAUUAAACACUGUCAUUAUAACGAUUGGCGUUGCCGAUUCUCCGCCUUCUACAGAGGAUAGUUGAUGGUCGUUCUAAGAGCGUAGUAGCAUAGAGAAACAAUAGCGUAAGUAGAUAUCCCAUGGUAUAGGGCGUUUAUGUCGCAACUUUUACUGUUAUCUCAAGCCGAUUACUGUCGAUUAUUGUCGAUUUUUACUGUUUUGUUGGGGUAAGAGUGUAUGAACGGCACAACAUUGAUUGAUUGAUUGAGUACUUUAUUUAUGUAGACCACAAUAUAUACUGUCUUAUACACUUAUAUACAAUAGCUUACAAUACAGCAAAAUUAUAGAUGAAUUUACAUGAUAUAGAUUAAGAAAAUAAUUAUUGAACUGUAUAUGAUAUGAAAAAGAGAUUUGUAAUAUAAUAACUAUAGAUAAUUAUAUUGUAAUGCAAGUACAUAAAUUGGCGGAGCUUUGGACAUAUCAAUGUCCAUUCUUCGGAAAGAAUAUUAAAAAUAUCCUCCCCACUAACUCUCUACCAAAAAACAUGAGAGACUACCAGCGUCACAGAGCUUCACGGGAAAGAACUACUUGGACUAUCGGCUUGAGAUAACAGUAAAAGUUGCGACAUAAACGCCCUAUACCAUGGCAUAUCUAUUUAUGCUAUUGUUUCUUGGAUUUUUAUUUGUAUUCAAAUUCUAGUAUAGCCCUAACGAAUACGAUUAUUUAAAUUAUUUUACAAUAUUAUGACAGAUGUAUUAUCAGUAUUUAUUAUUGGACUAUUUAUAUGACCUGACAAGAAAUGAUUUUUUGUUACAAUAUUAUAAACCAGUAUGAGAAUUAUUUAAAUUUGAAUUACUACAGUGAUGUCCACGUUAUAAUGGCAGUAUUUGAUUAACAUUGGUGUUGCUGUCCUUGUCUAUCAUUCGACAAAGCAGAUAGCGCCAUCCCUUUCCACCUCACCUCUGCACUGUUGCCAAAGUUUGAAUCAAAUUAUUGUGUUAUGUAUCAAGCUGAGAUGAUACUGUAUCAUUUUGUGUCGAUACUGUAUCAUUUUGUGGUUUCAUCUUCCUAUAGUGAGGUCCACGUUAUAACGGCAGUGUUUGAUUAACAUUGGUGUUGCUAUCCUUGUCUAUCAUUCGACAAAGCAGAUAGUGCUAUCCCUUUCUAGCUCUGCAAUGUUGCAAAAUCUGUCUUCCACGGUGUAGAAGUACAAUUAAGGCAGAGAAUCGGCUCCUAUCUGCUAUUAUAACGUGGAUUUCACUAAAGAUAUUAAUUAAAUUCAGUGUUGACAUUGUGCGUAAAGGUUAAAGAGUUAACGAAUACCUGUAAUACAAAUAUUAUUUGUAUUUUCACUUGGUAUUUCAUUUUGUAAUUCAGUGUACUUUUUUUAGUGUAGUUGAUUUUGUCUAGGCAUCAUUACAUUUAUCAAAGUUAUUUUUUGUAGUUCAUAAAAUGUGUAAAUAAUUAAUCUUCGAAAUGAAUACUGAAAAUGUUUUACUGGUAUGGUUGAUUAUAAAAUUUCAUAAAAAUGGUAUCAUGCGAAAUUUUCUCUAAGCAAAUGUAUUUAUUUUAGCAAACAGGAAAAAUUAAAAAUUCUUGAAAAAUGAA